UACCCUGAAAACAACCUCAAACAGAUUUCCCGGCCGUUUCCCAGAGUUAAAAAAGAUUGUGUAUUGUAUCUUAAGUUUGCAAAUUCUUCUGAUUUUCUCACAUUAUAUUCCUGUUUUUGUCUCAUUUAUUUUUAAUCCUCUUCUAAAUGUCUGAGCUUCUCUUCUUCACUCAUCUUAAUAUUUUAACCUGUUCUUAAUAUCGCCAUAAUUAAAAAAAAAUAGUAUUCUAUGCUGCUGCAGUAUAAGAAUAAAAAAUGUUUCCUGUGAUGAACGAAUAAUCUGAAAAGAAGCUGGGAAGUGCUGACUUUUCAGACACAGAAGAUAUCUUCAUCACGGAAGCGUUUGAAGGGCUCCAGCCUGGAUAGUCAGUGAGUAACCUGUAUUAAAAGAUCCAACGUUUUAUUUUACCUUAAGUUGAGCCAUGAAAUAGAACGCGUGAUGACAAGAGAUCAGUGAAACGACUUUUUGUUUUCCGAACGGGAAUGGAUUUUUUCAGUGUGUGCCAUUUAACAGUAUGUGCAAAUAUCUAGAAACCCAGGCAUUAGUAAUAAACACAUGGGUGUGCGGGCUGUAAACGUACUUGGUUCCCGCUUAUGUACAUUU